UUAACAUGUUUCUUUUUAUCCUCUGAGGAGGUUUUAUGAGCACAAGAAUUAUGUGUCGUGGGGAACAUGUUCCCGGCUGGCUCCAGGCUGUACCUCUCAUCCAGACCCUUACAUGGUCGGCCACGUUACCCUGCCUGCCCCGCCCUCUGAGUGGGGAGUUCUGGCAUAGCUUGCCUGAAAAGGCAAUAAACAAAGCCGUGCCUGAAACUCUAUGGCAAAUACCACAAUCAGCUCCCAACCACACAACAAAUGCCCCUGGAAUCGAAAAUAGAAAGUGACCCAAGAAGGCCAAGCCCUUGGGGAAGACUCCACUGAGGAGGCAGACCUGGAGCUGGGCCCUGAGAAAGGCAAGUUGUAGGCCGUGCACGGAACAUGCCUUGGAGUCUGUUGGAGUGGAAGGAGAAACCCUUUGGCCAAUAAGAAGACACCAGACUAGACCGAUCUCCAGACAGGAGGGGACGCCGGUUCACUACCACCUCAGAAAAAAAAACAACUCGCUGUGGAUUCCACCUGGCCCUAAGAUUCCUCUAACACUAGAGGGCAGUCAGGCCCCACAGACCUAAGGAGGUCUGUCCAAGUCUGAAUGAGCUCCAUGUGCCAGCAUCCUCAGACUGUCCGCCUGGAGAUGAAGUGCUGGCACAGUAAAAUAACUUCCAGAGAUCCAUUUACUUAGACGUGUUAAAGGGCACCUCAGUGAUGCUUCAGUUGCAACCUCUUCUCCAUCAAAGAAGAUUUUCCGGUCAAAAUGGCAGAACCACAUCUCCUCCCAAGCCUCUAUCUAGCUGACAGUGUAGAGCCAGUAACCAGCCUCGGUUGCCAGUGUUCUCAUAUUCAAGAUUGAAAUCUUUAAAAGUGCUUUUGGAUGGUACUGUGGUCAACUCUUGUCUCUGUUGGGAAUUAUUUGGUUUCCUUCCUGAAUUUCUAUCAAGGAGAAAAAGAGGCUUGAUCUGCCCCCAGGAAGAACAAGAAGUGGCUUUCACAGCAGCUGAUUGGAAUGGAAAACCAGGAUCAGAUCCACCUCCAAAAAACUUUCACGUGAAAAGGGAUGAAGUUUCAUUUAUCUGCUCCAAUUCAAGAAGUUCCAAAAGCUUCUUGAAAAUUCAGAAUUUCUUAUUUAAAUUAAUGAAAGAAGAAACACGAACUAUAAGUAGAGCCAGCUUUUGUCAUUGAUACACUCAAGCGUCCAGUAGAUUCUUUGAAUCCCAGAGUCACAGUUUAAGAGCUGAGUAUAGGAGUAACUCUCAGAACCAUGAAAGUCCCUCAGGACCGGAUGCUCCAUCAUCCCCCAGCCUGAGCGCUUGCCCUCAAUUCUUUCUUCUGAUGUUCCCAGGACACCUCACAAGUCAACCUACUUAUCACCCUGCUUCCCUGAUUUUCAUGCUUUACUUCCAACCUAGAAACUCACAACUGCAUAUUUUAUAAGCUUAGCAAACUGGAUAUCAAAGAGAACUCCCCCUAUUGGAUAAAAGCUAUUUGGUACAAGACCUAGAGAAAAAUCAUAAUUAAUGGCAAAAUAUUUGAAGGAUUUCCAUUACAGUCAGGAACAAAACAGGCAACUCACUGCAGUGUACUAACGCAGCAGACAAGGAAAGGAACGGGAAGCAUACAUAUAGGUGAGAGGGAAAGAGAGCUUCCUGUUUCCCCUCAGUCCUUGCUGCUGAUGGCUUCCUUUCCAGCCUUGAUUUUACCACUCAGUCUGUGGCAAGGAGUGAUGGAAAAUGGCCUGUAGCUUAAGAUGGCUAUGUGGUGAUACAAUUAGCACUUAACCGAUUUUACUGUUACUAGGUUGAUCAUUUCCUCUCGGCUAUCUGGAGCCAAGGUAGGAGGCAGAAUAGAAAAGGAAAAUCAAAAAAAAAAAAAAAAAAAAAAAAAGAACUUUACUAGAGUUUCCAUGAGAGAAGACAUGAUAUAAGAAAGAUAGGAGGAAAAACAAAAAGCAAGAAUUGAGCAAGAAGGACAAAAAAAGAGAAACGGGGAAUGGACAUGUGGAUGGAUGGACAAGUAGCAAGGGGUAGGAUGGAGAGGUAGAAGCCUGAAGUGGACGGUGAGCAGGAGAAAAUGGGAAGAAAUAAGAGCCAGGAAAACAUCUGGACACAGGGCUUGAAGCUUUGUCUUGACUGAAGGAGCUUGGGGGUGUCGGAGAUGGAGCUGGGUUAGCAGGAAGAUUUGGCUGGGAAAAAAGUAGCUUUCAGAGGCGUGGAGAGCUGUUAGGUCCAAGAUAAAGUUUGGGGAAACUCCAAGUCCUUAGAGAUGUGCCAGGCACUCUGCUAAGUGGUUUACAUCCACUGUCUCAUUUAAUUUAACCCUACACUAACUCUGUUAGGUAGAUGCUCUUACUUUUUCCCCUGUACAGAUGAAGAAACUGGGGUUCAGAGAAAUUAAGUACUUUGCCCAAGAUCAGUCAUUUAACAAUAAGUGGGCUGGGAUUCAACCUGAGGCUGCUGAUUCUGGAGCCCUGGCUGGGUAACGUUCAGCUUCGCUUCUCCAAAUUCUUCUCUGGCUUGACCCAGUUUACCACCCAGGACUGGGUGUAUUCAGGGUGGUAUGGGAGGGGUUGCUAUGCAUUGUGUAGGUAGGGAAGAAGAAUUUUCUCAGACUAGUGAAAUUACAGAUGCCAGUGCUCUAAAAUCCACGUCAGAAGAGGAGCCUUUGGAGAAGCUGUGGUUGAUUAGUCUGGAGGAGAGAAAGGUGGGACACUGGAUAUUUGAGGGACUGACUUGGAAGUGGCGAUCAUCUACAGAGUCAUUCCAGAGAGGAGACCCGUGGGUGUGACGGGGAGGUAGUUACAGUUCAGUCUUGGGUGAGACCUUCAGUCAAGGCUUUCUGAAAGUGGGAUGAGCUGCUUCCGGCUACAGAAGCUCCCCAUUACUGAAGGUGUCCAUCGUUCAUUCAUCCAUUCAUACAGAUUUCUGUGGAGGAUCCACAAUGUACCAUCUGUACUCUAGGGAGACAAACAUGCUUACUACUCUCCUGGAGAUUGCAUUUUGUUGGGGAAAACAGGCAAUAAACAAAUAUAGAGACAAAUAAUGACAUAAACUACUUAUAAAUCAUGACAUGGGUUAUGAAGGAAAUCAACAAGGGUCUGAGAUAGGCAAUAAGGGAGGAAACUGGAGUGGGUCUUGUGGGUGCUCCACUGAGGGUUCUCUGGAUCCCAUCAUGGUUACUGUGUGCCAGUCCCCCAGCAUCUGUGCACUUUUGCUGUAAGAAUCGACUCCUGUAACUCAGUUUCAAGGAGAGCCCUUGGGCCACUGGAGCUCUUUACCUGUAUGCCCAGAGAGCGACCCCUAACUGCCCUUAGCCCAGGACUCAGCCAGUAGAGCAGGAGUGUGAAAGCCCAGAAACAACGUUCGGGGUGCUCUGAAGCCUUCUAGGCUUCUUCCUUCUGUGUCUUCCGCUUGCCUGUGCAGCUUCUCCUACUCCCUUACCAGUUUCUCCUGGGGCACUUUUUAAACUAAAACACUUGCUUAUGAAUUCUUGUCUUGGGGUUUGCUUCUGGGGAACUCAACCUAAGAUCAGGAGAGAGUCAUGAUGUGACUGACAUUUUAAAAGAUACCCUGGUUCUGGGGGAGAAUAGACUGAGAUUGCAAGUGUGGAAGUAAGGGGACCAGUUAGGAUCCUAGCAGUCUUGGUGAGGGAUGAAGGAGGCCUGCUCUAGGAGGAUGCCAGGGGUGAUACCAGGGAGAGGAGAGAUUUUAGAUCUCAACAAGAAUCAACAAGGUUGGCUUGGAAAUGACUGAAGGAAAGGGAGGAAUCCAGAAUGUCUCUUAGAUUAGUCGAGGAGAUAUAGGGAUAGUACGGAUAGAAAUCCCCUCAUUGAGUGGGAAGUAGAACUAGGUGAAUUCAAAGCCAUGUAUCCAUUGGAAAAUCCAUUUGCAAUGGCUGCAUUUAGCAACCAAACAAAAGAUGGAAGCUAGAGAUGGCUACACAUGAGAAUAAACAUAAAAGCACAGGGAGUGUACAUAGACUGGCAGGUAGCUUGCAAAAAUCAUUAAAGUAACUCAAAUUUCUUUUGAGUUACCUAAUGUAGGGUGUUUCCAUUUCGUGCUCCUAUAGUUCCCUACCCACUUGGAUCCAGGCCAUACCUGGCAUUGUGACAUGUGCUGGGCCUUUCUCUAGGAGGAAAGUGUGUGUGUGAGAAUCAUGCAGACUUUCUUGGUUUGGCUAAUCCAUGCUCUUGCUGUCUGAUCACCUUGCCUUUUUAAAGAAAAGAUGCUAAACUGCUGCUGUCAUUGCUGUUGUUAUUAUUAUUAUUGCUAAGCACUUAGUAAGUGCCAGGCAUUUUGCUUAUCGCUUUGCUUAUAUAAUCUCAUUUACCCUUCACAACAACUCUUUCAGGUGGUGCUUUUGUGUUCUAUUGUCCUUUGGGGGCUGAAGCCAUCACAGCUUAGCUACUUGCCCAAAGGCAAAUAGCCUGAGAGUGGCUAAAUUGGGAUUUGAACCAGAAGUCCCAUUCCAGACCCCAAGUACUCAACCAGUAUGAUUAAACUGACUGAAAAAAAGAAAAUACUCUCAGGGGAGCCUGAGCCCUUCCUCCGCCUACACAAAACUCUAGUCAUCCCAGGACAUUAGGGCUGAUUCUCGCUGUCCCACAUGCCACAGCCUCUCAGCAUCCACGCCCACUGCCCUCUGUUCCUGUCCAAUGCCAGCGUCCCAGUUCUUCAUGGCACCCAGAUAGCUCUGCUCUACAAAACAGGCCUCCCUGAUUUCUUCCUUGGGUUUCUAGUGAACGAUACAAGCUCUUGAAAAAGUCCGUCUCUCUGGGGUUCGGGAGUUUCCUUAGAGUCCAUCCCAGAGUACCUUGCUUAGAGGCACUUAGAUCCAUUCAACUCAUGUUUCCCAGCAACUGCUUUGUGCUAGACUCUGUGUCUGGCAAUGAGAGAAGGAAAAAAAGUAAACAAUCUGUAUCUUUGGCUGUAAGGAAAUCACAAUCAAUGUCAAGCAUGUUGUCUAAGCAACACAUAUCUAGAAGGCUGAAUACUCCCAAUUGUCUGGAGAUUUCAAGGGCCUUUUCUAGUUUAAAGGGCGGGGAGGGGGGCUCCCCAAAGCCAGAAAAGAUUCCUGCCACACGUGAAAACAGCUUAAAUGUCCAAUAGUAAAGGGUAAGCUCACUGAUAUACUAUUCCACACCACAAAACAUUCUUAAAGGACUUAGAAAGAAUUCUGAAUCACAUGGGUUUCAUAAUAUAUUUU